CCCUUAGAUGUUCUGGGCUGCACGCGCGCUACACUGACACACGCAACGAAUCUCCUGCCCUGACAGGGUCGGGUAAUCAUUUGAGUGUGUGUCGUGAUGGGGAUAGAGUAUUGCAAUUAUUGCUCUUGAACGAGGAAUUCCUAGUAAGCACAAGUCAGCAGCUUGUGCUGAUUACGUCCCUGCCCUUUGUACACACCGCCCGUCACUCCUACCGAGGGGGUGAUCCGGUGAAUGAUUCGGACUCUGGUGCUUCUAGCUGCUAGAUGCGCCGGAGGAAGUUUUGUGAACCUUAUCACUUGGAGGAAGGAGAAGUCGUAACA
rnacentral:rRNA from 1 species